CCCUUAGAUGUUCUGGGCUGCACACGUGCUACACUGGCAGGUUCAGCGAGCUUCAUGCCCUGAUCUGAAAGGAAUGGGAAAUCUUUUCAAAACCUGCCGUGCUUGGGAUAGAUGUUUGCAAUUAUUCAUCUUCAACGAGGAUUGCCUUGUAAGCGCAUGUCAUCAGCAUGCAUUGAAUACGACCCUGUAUUCUGUACACACCGCCCGUCGCUCCUACCGAUUGAGUGGUCCGGUGAGGCUUUGGGAUCUGAGCGGAAAGAGCGUUUCGCUGUUUCUGCUCGGAAAACUCAGUCGAACCUUAUCAUUUAGAGGAAGGAGAAGUCGUAACA
rnacentral:rRNA from 1 species